CAUGAGCCUCGUGAAAAAAGAAAUGGACUGUGGUUCAUCCAACUAAGAUGUGUGAGACUCUUAAGGGACACGAAGAACAGGAUCAGAGAUGAUUAAGAAACUGUGGUUCCAAAGGCUUAGAUUGCCCGAAGACACAUAGCAACUUGAGGGCAGAAGGGACCAGAGCUCAUGUCCCCUCGCCGCUCAUCCCUUGUCCUGCCUGGAGCCAGCUGCUGGACAAGAAGGGCUCUGGUGCCCCAUUGUGGUAGCUGGUCUUGCUUCAUACAACUUGGAGCUCCAAGCUUUGUAGGAAGCUAGAGGGGCCGCCUUUGCUGAACAGGUGAAAAUAGCAGCCCUACAGGUCUCUCCUCACGGCGGGUGGAGGAG
ensembl:lncRNA